rnacentral:rRNA from 1 species
AUUGAACGCUGGCGGCAGGCUUAACACAUGCAAGUCGAGCGGGGGAAGGUAGCUUGCUACCGGACCUAGCGGCGGACGGGUGAGUAAUGCUUAGGAAUCUGCCUAUUAGUGGGGGACAACAUCUCGAAAGGGAUGCUAAUACCGCAUACGUCCUACGGGAGAUAGCAGGGGAUCUUCGGACCUUGCGCUAAUAGAUGAGCCUAAGUCGGAUUAGCUAGUUGGUGGGGUAAAGGCCUACCAAGGCGACGAUCUGUAGCGGGUCUGAGAGGAUGAUCCGCCUCACUGGGACUGAGACACGGCCCAGACUCCUACGGGAGGCAGCAGUGGGGAAUAUUGGACAGUGGGGGGAACCCUGAUCCAGCCAUGCCGCGUGUGUGAAGAAGGCCUUAUGGUUGUAAAGCACCUUAAGCGAGGAGGAGGCUACUCUAGUUAAUACCUAGGGAUAGUGGACGUUACUCGCAGAAUAAGCACCGGCUAACUCUGUGCCAGCCGCCGCCGUAA